CUUUGAGAUGAGCGGAACGCUCUGGAAAGUGCGGCCAUAGUGGGUGAUAGCCCUGUACGCGAAAAUCUCUUAGUCAUGAAAUCGAGUAGGACGGAGCACGAGAAACUUUGUCUGAAUAUGGGGGGACCAUCCUCCAAGGCUAAAUACUCGUUGCCGACCGAUAGUGAACCAGUACCGUGAGGGAAAGGCGAAAAGAACCCCGGAGA
rnacentral:rRNA from 1 species